AUUGAACGCUGGCGGCAUGCCUUACACAUGCAAGUCGAACGGUAACGCGGGGCAACCUGGCGACGAGUGGCGAACGGGUGAGUAAUGUAUCGGAACGUGCCCAGUUGUGGGGGAUAACUGCUCGAAAGAGCAGCUAAUACCGCAUACGACCUGAGGGUGAAAGCGGGGGAUCGCAAGACCUCGCGCAAUUGGAGCGGCCGAUAUCAGAUUAGGUAGUUGGUGGGGUAAAGGCUCACCAAGCCAACGAUCUGUAGCUGGUCUGAGAGGACGACCAGCCGCACUGGGACUGGGGGACGGCCCAGACUCCGACGGGAGGCAGCAGUGGGGAAUUUUGGACAAUGGACGCAAGUCUGAUCCAGCCAUGCCGCGUGCGGGAAGAAGGCCUUCGGGUUGUAAACCGCUUUUGCCAGGGAAGAAACGCUCCGAGAUAAUACCUUGGGGUAAUGACGGUACCUGAAGAAUAAGCACCGGCUAACUACGUGCCAGCCGCCGCGGUAAGAC
rnacentral:rRNA from 1 species